CAGCUUGGACGCAGUCACACUGGACCAAACGUGGUCUUGGUGUUUGUACUAAAAGCAGUUUUCUGUGUCGGUGGCCACCUGGUAAGCUUGGCCCUCCUGCUCUGGGGUCCCUGGACGGUCCCUGCAGCAGCGCGUCCUGCCUCCCAAGCCCCCCCCCACCUCCGCAGUUUCUCCUCAGAAUUGUGCAGUCUCCCUCUUACACCUGUGGCCCCCCCGAGGCUGUGGGGCAUCUAUCGUGGUCCCCACCUGCCUCGCUGCCCCUCCCCCGACGGCUCCUCCCAGGCCUCAGGUCUCAGGGUCUCGUCUUUUCUCGCGGGGGCCUUUCCCACUCUUCAGUGACCACGUCCUACUUUGCUGUAACCUGCCUGCCUGUCUGACUUGCUGCGACCUUAGAGCAGAGGCUUCACUGGCAUGUGUGUCGGUGGGGUGGACGUGGCUCUGGUGGGAAGUGGGGGGAAGCCGUGAUCUGCUCUGAGGACGUGGGGACCCUGGCGAGGGUCCCCACGUCCACGUCCCUUAAACUCUCUUUGAACAAUUAUCCAGUCCUACCAUUUGAGAAUUUGCCACGUCUCACUGCUACCAGUGGCGGCUAAGACGCCCCCGCUCAGGCUGUGUCAGCGGCUGGGAUGCCCCCAGCCUCAGAACGGGCUGGAUUUGCUCCUUGUUCCCUCACCUGCGUUCUGUUCUUGCACCAAAUGCCCGACUCUAGUUCACCACUCAGCCAGGGCUUUCAUGUCACUGGCUGUUGUCUUUCAUGGGGUGGGGGGGUUCACACCACCUGGCCUUUGCUGCUUCUCCCAAAGAGCCCCACCCUUAUCAAAGCUCAGAUAAGUUUGAGAAGGUUAGGGAUGAAAACUACCUUGGCAUUUGAUGUGUAUUUGCAUAUGCAUGUAAUUUAUUUGGGGGAAGAUUAGAGCAGCUAUUACCCAAGCAAAGAUAAUAAUUGCCCUAAUUAGUGAUAAAGUGGAAUUGGCAUUUUAGGAGGCUCGGAGUCCACAUCCUGGGCAAAUGUUUGUAUAAGACGUAACUUUCGAGGAGUACCUGCUUGAGCUGCCUUAAUUAACUUCAUUCUACUUACUAGACCCGUGUUUGUUCCCGUCUGGGGUUUUACAUUAAUAAACACAGAGUCCAUCGUAGGUAAAUGGCCCUUUGUUAAACGUGUUGAGGGAGCGGUGUGACCCACAGCCACGUGCCAGGUCGCGGGUCCCGAGUCUGGUCCAAAGGGAUGAGCAGUGCAGGCUUGGCAGGCCUUCUCCUGCAAGUCCGAACGCAGCACUUCGGGCUUCGUAAACCACAGGGUCUCGGACAGUGCCUGAGAGGGGCGUGCUUUGCGCCCACCACUUCUCAGACGUCGCCGGCUGCCCGUGCGGUCACAGGGUCACUUUAGAAAGUAGAAGUCAGUCAGUGGGGACCACAGGCCGCACGGCUCUUCGAUGCACAAAGUGGGGAGUUUGGGGUCACAAACUCUCAGUGUCUUUUUCUAAGGCUUGGACGCUUUUGUUUUUCUGCUCUUGUUUCUAGAGUCUUAGUUCAAGAAAGAGCCACGGCUGCUGAAGCCCCCACGUUUCUGAGGAUGGGGGCAGCUGGCUCCUGCAGGUGCAUCUGAGGGCAGCUCUGGGGCUGCACAGCCCGGACCCCCACAACCCUGAGGGUUUCUGGCCUUUGACAGAAAGCAUCCCGCGACCCUGCUGUGUACAGUUACCUGCAGGAAAGGCCCGUCCAGGACAACAGCGAACAGAAGUGGGACAAGGUCAGGAUUCAGGAGAUGACGCCAAUUUGUCAAGGAGGAAAAGGAAUUCGUUUCAACUCAUCAGAAACUCUAAGGUUAGACAUCUCAUAUCUAUAAAUUAUGCAGUUCAUUUUUGGAUUUUAGUACCUAGGUUGACGACUUUAUACAUCAAAAAUCAAUUUGCUCCUUAUCAGUGCUGUGCAGAUUUUGAAGGUCUUAUUCCUUUUAGAAGCCACAGAGUUUGGAGGAGGCUGGAGUUGUGGUGGGAAACUCAGAAAUGCAGAGAUCAGAAGGAGGUCUGCUCACAAGCCUUCCGAUCAGCCUGUCCCAACUGGAGCAUCAGCCAAAAGGGUUUUAAAUCUGAGCGAAGCUGGUGAAAGCAGUUGGUUAAGGAAGCCCCACUGGCCUUCGGUCUUCAGGAGGUGGCCUUCAUUCCGGCCGCCAGUGUGUGUGGUGCCAGGUGGAAGGUGUGGGGACAAAACCGGUGCCCGCAGGAGGCUCUGGGGAUGAGAGGCUCUCGCACCCAGGACUUGGCCCUGCCAGGUGCUGCGUUUGUGGCGGGGGGAGGGUGCUUGGGGCUUGAUGAGACCCCGGCAGAGCAGGUAAUUGGGUUGGCGUCAAGGAGGGUGUAUAGGUAAGCAGUGGAGUGACCUGACCGAAUUUGGGUGUUCAGGCGUGACCUUCACCUUGGCAUAACAAGGUCAGCGCUGUAGCAUGUUGGAUUUCACACUUGACACAGGCGCGGUAGCCGAUUAGCUGUGAAAUCCGCUUUCCUGAUUCCAAAUAGCCCUUUUCUAACUUGGGUCAUUUCUGACCCUUCACAUAAUGAGAAUAUUUUCUAGGUCUGGGAAAGUACUGGGUCUGUGCUUGCAGCGUUUACAGGUGUUGCUUUCGGCGUCCUCCCGAAGGCGUCCUCCCCUUCUGGGCGUUUCCCCGCCCUUGAGCGGGCAUGGCUGCAAUACCACACUUGACUCACUAAAGUUAGCCAAAGUUUGCACACGGCCCUUCUGUGCAAAACUUACCAAGUUUCCAGUCUGGGAUCUUUUACAGUGAAUCACUCUCCUGGUACCGAUGGUGCAGAGUCUCAGAUUUCCGAGUAUCCCCCGCGUGAGUGAUCCGGGGAUUGAAAAUAGACCAGUCAGGCGUCACUGGAAUUCUUGACGCCACAAUUGGGUCACGUCUCUGAGGGAUUUCUGCAGCUCGCUGGGUCGCACCGAGCAGAAGGCUAUUUGUAAAAAUCCCGUCCACGGGGUGCAAAGCGAGUCAUGCUAUUCAAGACCGUCCCCAAAGGCACCUGGUGGUGCGGAACUCCUGUGCGGCUCAGCCAGGCCCCAGCAGCUUUGUGUUUACCCGACAGAAGCCCCUGGAGCCUCCGCUCAGCUCUCCCGGUCGACGUCCGCGCAGACCCACUCGUGCCCAGCUCAAGGCGCGGCGGGGCCUGUCAGAGGGGCAGGUCCUGCCUUUCUCCAAGCGUGUGCAUGUGGCCUGAGACACAUGAAUCGCUUUUCAAAAUCCUUCAGGUGUUUGUGUGGUAAUUUUAAUACACUAGGCUUCAAAGCAUGUGGGCGCCCUGCCAACAGGCGGACUAACCCAGGGGUGGGAUUCUGGCAUUUCUCGUUGAAUGCCCUGAGCUGUUAGGGAAGAGUGUUUCCAACGAGGAGGAGGAGUCCAAUCAUGCCGCUGGGAGGUGGGUUUUUUUUUUUUUUCUUUUUUUACUGUUCUUUUUUACAGCAACUUAAGGUUUCAUUGCCAAGCCAUAACUAUUUCUAAUUUUAGCUCAGAUCCAUCCUCCUGAUCUCCGCGCGUCACUGUCUGAUUCCUGCUCUACGUUCUGUAGAGACGUCACCGCCACCUGACUUGUGCUGGUCACGACAGGACUGUGGCCGCUCACCAUGAAUUCCAGGCGCCCGUCAACGCUAAUGGAUUCAUCACUAUUACUAAGUCAGGCGCCCGACUUACUACGAGUUGGCACUAGCAGCGACGCCGAGGAAAGGUCACGUGGCCCAGCGACCAUGCUCACUCUUCCCUGCAGAAAGGGACCUUCUGCCAAAGUCAGCGAGGGAAGCAGCCGAAGCGUCUGACUCACCCCCAGCACAGCCUUUGGCAACCGCGCCUUUCUGCAAAACACAGCACGUUUUUCAAAUUCCUCCAAAUAACUAUGAUAACAAUAAAGAGAUGCUCAGGGAGAGGAGGGAGACUGCUGUCCCCAGCCUGCUCUGUGGCACGUCCCCAGGGCCAUACUCCAGCUCCUGCACUGUUGGCUGAUUUCUGGUCAGUUGGGAAGGAGCCAGCAGUCAGAAUGGAGCUCUGGUCCUGGGGAAAGAUCUCGGGGGCUGGUACUGGAUUCUGUCUGUUUGGCUCCUCGACCAAGUGCCUCUUCCUAGUCACUGUCCAAAGCACCACAGAUUGGGCAGUGAUUCACUCUCUGGUGAUCAGGUGUGCCCUGGGCAUCAGGCACUGAUUCAAAGGACACGCACUCCCAGCAGAGCCAGUGGGCAAAGCCCAGACACUCCUUGCUGUGUGUCAGGGCACAGAGGAAAGCUGCAAAAAACAAACAGGCCAGCUCCCGCUCUUGCCAAAUCAAGAUCUUCCUUUGGAAGGAAGAAGCCACUGAUGUUCAGGGCUCAUUCUAAAGAUUAUCCUGUGGGAUCAACUGAAAGCUAAGAAACAAAAUGUAGGCACCUUCUUUGAUGACAUCUAAAAUUUGUGCUUUCCUUGAAAUCAAUGUCGUGUUUCUAAGUUCAAUAGAAUUUCAAAUUCAAAUGUUUGUUUUAGAGUUUAAAACAUUCCUGUGUGUUAAAGUAAAAUAAUUUAGGGACAGCUAAACCCUAAAAGGAAGAAAGAGUUCUGAUCACAUUCAAUGAGAUCAAGGAGGAAGAUGUGAGAGAAAAAUGGUUUCCAUGACAACCUCAAGGUAAUCAGCGGCAAAACCGCAUUUCAACAGUCGUAGCUUCUUCUGUUCUAAUGCCACACAAAGCAAGAAAGAGUGUUGCUAAGUAUUUGAAUGAGGAUGUUCCAUACAUUAGACUCCAAAGUUUUUGGACUCUUUUGAGCUUCUUGGAUAUGUCCAUUUAUGUCUUUCAUCAACUUUGGAAAAGCUUUUGCAUUAAUCUUUCAACGGUUCUGUGCCAUUCCCCCUCUCUCUUUUCUUUCCAGGAUUCUAAUGACAGGGACCGCAUGCAUUUUAGGCCCUCUGAUUAUGUCAUGACGUGGCAUUCAUGUCCAUCUUUCUGCUCUCUGUUCUUCAGAUUGGCUGAUUUCUACAGAUUGAUUCAGGUUCACCAAAUCUUCCUCUCGUCAGCUCCACGAUCUUGUUAAGCUCACCUAGUAAAUCUUUCAUUUUAGAUACUCUAUUUUUUAGAACUAGCAUUUUGAUUGGAUUCAUAAACUGUCUGCUUCUCUGCUUCCGAGAUGUUCGUUAGUUAUGAGUAUGAUUCCUUUAUGUCCUGGAGCAGAACGGAAAGGUCCCUAUCUGCUGAUUACAACAUGUGGGUCAGCCUGGCUCAGUUUUCCUGGAAACUCUAGAGUUUCUUCAAAUGCCUGAUGUUGAAUUUUACUCUGGAAAUGCAGUCGGUUUGUUGUGAGGACUCUGGACUGUGGUGCGUCCUCUUCCAGGAGUUGGGGUUUGAUCUCAGCACACUGCUACCCGACUGGGAGGACACGCCAGAUGCUGUGUCCCCAGAGAGAGUCCCUUCUCCCCAUUGUGACUUCCGACACGUCCACCUGCUUUGCUUUCUCUCCAGUGCCUUCAGGCAUUUGUUUCUGUAUUUUGACAAGAGUUUUUUUGUGUCCCUCAGGGGCUUUGGACAGAUUUGGUGAGAGUACAGUGAUGAUACUGCAAGUGAAAAAAUGAUGCAGUUGGCUGCAGCUCACAGACAUCUUGGUAAACGCCCUGCAGCAAGACAUAGAAUUAAAGAGCACUCUGGGGCCUCCGAUGACAUCUCCUUUCUGUGUGUCGCUUGUGGUCGAGACAGCAGCAGGUGCAGGAAGGGAAGGGCUAUGUGCGCCUGUCAGCAUGGGGCUCAGACGGGGCGUGGCUAUUCAUGGUGAUAGCAUUUGUGGAGGGAAGAAAACAUGAAAGUCCCUCCAGGCAAUACUCAGAUCACUGGGGGAACAAUGAAGGGACAAGAACAGGAGUCCAUGCAUCUCAGAAAAACCUCCUCUGCCAGGGAAAAUGCAUACUUCUUCCAGUGGAAGCUAGGACCUAAGAGGGUAUUUCCUGUCUUUGCAAAAACACAGCAUUUUUUUUUUUUUGUCUUUUUGCUAAUUCUUGGGCUGCUCCCCCAGCAUAUGGAGA